rnacentral:tRNA from 1 species
GAGCAUAUAGCUCAGUGGUAGAGUGUGUGCUUAGUAUGCACGAGGUCCUGGGUUCAAUACCCAGUACCUCCA